rnacentral:rRNA from 1 species
CCUGGGAACUGCGUUNUGAACUGGGUGACUAGAGUGUGUCAGAGGGAGGUAGAAUUCCACGUGUAGCAGUGAAAUGCGUAGAGAUGUGGAGGAAUACCGAUGGCGAAGGCAGCCUCCUGGGAUAACACUGACGUUCAUGCCCGAAAGCGUGGGUAGCAAACAGGAUUAGAUACCCUGGUAGUCCACGCCCUAAACGAUGUCGAUUAGCUGUUGGGCAGCAUGACUGCUUAGUAGCGAAGCUAACGCGUGAAAUCGACCGCCUGGGGAGUACGGUCGCAAGAUUAAAACUCAAAGGAAUUGACGGGGACCCGCACAAGCGGUGGAUGAUGUGGAUUAAUUCGAUGCAACGCGAAGAACCUUACCUGGUCUUGACAUGUACGGAACCCUCCAGAGACGGAGGGGUGCCUUCGGGAGCCGUAACACAGGUGCUGCAUGGCUGUCGUCAGCUCGUGUCGUGAGAUGUUGGGUUAAGUCCCGCAACGAGCGCAACCCUUGUCAUUAGUUGCCAUCAUUAAGUUGGGCACUCUAAUGAGACUGCCGGUGACAAGCCGGAGGAAGGUGGGGAUGACGUCAAGUCCUCAUGGCCCUUAUGACCAGGGCUUCACACGUCAUACAAUGGUCGGUACAGAGGGUAGCCAAGCCGCGAGGUGGAGCCAAUCUCACAAAACCGAUCGUAGUCCGGAUUGCACUCUGCAACUCGAGUGCAUGAAGUCGGAAUCGCUAGUAAUCGCAGGUCAGCAUACUGCGGUGAAUACGUUCCCGGGUCUUGUACAC